CUUGCACCUUUCAAGCGAGUGGCGAACGGGUGAGUAACACGUGGAUAACCUGCCUCAAGGCUGGGGAUAACAUUUGGAAACAGAUGCUAAUACCGAAUAAAACUUAGUAUCGCAUGAUACAAAGUUGAAAGGCGCUACGGCGUCACCUAGAGAUGGGUCCGCGGUGCAUUAGUUAGUUGGUGGGGUAAAGGCCUACCAAGACAAUGAUGCAUAGCCGAGUUGAGAGACUGAUCGGCCACAUUGGGACUGAGACACGGCCCAAACUCCUACGGGAGGCUGCAGUAGGGAAUCUUCCACAAUGGGCGAAAGCCUGAUGGAGCAACGCCGCGUGUGUGAUGAAGGCUUUAGGGUCGUAAAGCACUGUUGUAUGGGAAGAAAUGCUAGAAUAGGGAAUGAUUCUAGUUCGACGGUACCAUACCAGAAAGGGACGGCUAAAUACGUGCCAGCAGCCGCGGUAAUACGUAUGUCCCGAGCGUUAUCCGGAUUUAUUGGGCGUAAAGCGAGCGCAGACGGUUGAUUAAGUCUGAUGUGAAAGCCCGGAGCUCAACUCCGGAAUGGCAUUGGAAACUGGUUAACUUGAGUGUUGUAGAGGUAAGUGGAACUCCAUGGUGAAAC
rnacentral:rRNA from 1 species